rnacentral:lncRNA from 1 species
UUGUUUUUUAUUACUAAUUACUGGGUUUAUAGUAAUAUACUAUAUUGUCUUCCUUGCUUACGGCCUGAUAUAAAAUCAUAUUGACACACUCAAGAUGUACUUUUUCUCCAUUUGCAUGCUUUUAGUAAAACGUUCACGAUAUGAUACACAGGGUGUGCCAUAACUGGGGUCUCUACAUGUUUUUGUGGAUGUAUUUAUGAAUCAAUUCAUCUUCCAACCUUGUGAGUUCUUCCCCAUGUUUUCUUUGUAAACUAGUAGGCAUAAUAUGUAAAAUGGGGAUUCGGCAGAGACAGGUAUGAUUAUUUGUAGUAUUUAUGUUUCAAGAAGUAAUGCAGUAUAACUUUAUCCUGUCUAUUUCAUUUUCUUUUUUUUUAUGUUAGGGGUUUGUGUGUUUUCCUAUUAUUAGAUAUCAAGAUGUUAUACUUAAUUAUGCUCCUGUAAUUUCUAAUGUAGAUUGUACUAGGGCAUGAAAGCCAUCAUUAGGAAAAGACAAGAGGACUAUACACAUAGGAUUGUGGUUUUCAUGCAGAAGUCUCAUUUCAAUUAUUUGUAUCAGAAAAGACAGCUGUUGUGAGACUGGUUAUGAUUCUUACAAAUAAGAACGUAAAAAAAUAUAGAAUUCAGCCUUUAUGUAGGGAUAAGGACUCAAAUAAUUUAGCUUGUGUUUUUCUUCAUGUUGCCAAAGGAAACGGGAUAACAAAAAGCACAGAAUUCAGAUAUGGCACUUUACAGCAUUUAGAUUCUCAUUCUUCCUUGACAAUGCACACUGAUUUUCAAAAUGAAAUUUUCUUUUUGCAAAGAUUUAAAUGCUGAAAGCAUUGAAAGACCUUAUAAUGGGACAUCAAAAGCAAGGAGAAC